rnacentral:rRNA from 1 species
AAUAGCCUAACGGCUGAACCAGCAACUUGGAAGAAUGUAUAGCAAUUGCUAGUUGUUUCUAUCAACAAAAAAAUGAAGCAAUAUCGAUUUGAUCGAAUAAAAUUCUGGGUAAAGUAAUGAUAAUGACAUUGUUUACCCAUGAGUCUUGACCAAGUUACGUGCCAGCAGUCGCGGUAAUACGUAGAAGACUAGUGUUAUUCAUCUUUAAUGGGUUUAAAGGGUACCUAGACGGCAUAUUAAGCCUUAACUGGAACUGAUAUGCUAGAGUUACUUAUGAGGAAGUUCUAAGGUACUAGAGGAGUAGAGAUAAAAUUCAAUCAUACCUUUUUUCUUAGGAAAAACUUCGGCACAGGUAUAGGUGAAAACAUCUUCUUAUGAGAUAACUGACGUUGAGGGACGAAGGCUUUUUUUAACGAACAGGAUUAGAUACCCUGGUAGUCAAGGCAGUAAACGCUGAGUGUCAUAGAUUAGGUAUAAAUUUAUUCUAUAAAUGAAAGUGUAAGCACUCCACCUCAAGAGUAAUUUGGCAACAUUGGAACUGAAAUCAUUAGACCGUAUCUGAAACCAGUAGUGAAGUAUGUUAUUUAAUUUGAUAAUCCGCAAAAAACCUUACCACAACUUGAAUAUUUAUAUACUUAUUUAUAUGAUAUGUUUAUGCAUAGCUUUGUGUAUAACAAGUUGCAUUUUAUGCAUUAUUAUGUAUAGAUAAUAGUAUACUGAUACAAGUGUUGCACGGCUGUCUCAAGUUAAUGUCGUAAGAUUAUGGUUAGCUCCGUUAAAUUAACGCAAACCCUUGCUCUAUUUUUAAAUAGAGUAGUUCUCCACCACAUUGGAUAAGAUAACAGGGAACAAGACAAGUCAUCAUGGCCUUAAUGUUGUGGGCUAUCGACGUGCCACGUGAGCCUUUACAAAAGGAUGUGAAAUUAAAAAAUUGAGCUAAUCCCACAAAAUUGGCUAUAUGUUUUUAAU